GAUGAACGCUGGCGGCGUGCUUAAUACAUGCAAGUCGAGCGAAGCACUUUAACGGAAUUCUCCGGAAGGAAGGUAAAGUGACUGAGCGGGCGACGGGUGAAGGUAACGCGUAGGGUAACCUGCCUUAUACAGGGGGAUAACAGUUAGAAAUGGCUGCUAAUACCGCAUAACAACAAAAACCACAUGGCUUUUGUUUGAAAGAUGGCUUUGGCUAUCACUCUGGGAUGGACCUGCGGUGCAUUAGCUAGUUGGUAAGGUAACGGCUUACCAAGGCAAUGAUGCAUAGCCGAGUUGAGAGACUGAUCGGUCACAAUGGAACUGAGACACGGUCCAU
rnacentral:rRNA from 1 species